ACGCUGGCGGCAGGCUUAACACAUGCAAGUCGAACGGUAGCAGGAGAAAGCUUGCUUUCUUGCUGACGAGUGGCGGACGGGUGAGUAAUGCUUGGGAAUCUGGCUUAUGGAGGGGGAUAACUACGGGAAACUGUAGCUAAUACCGCGUAGAAUCGGAAGAUGAAAGUGCGGGACCGCAAGGCCGCAUGCCAUGAGAUGAGCCCAAGUGGGAUUAGGUAGUUGGUGGGGUAAAGGCCUACCAAGCCUGCGAUCUCUAGCUGGUCUGAGAGGAUGGCCAGCCACACUGGAACUGAGACACGGUCCAGACUCCUACGGGAGGCAGCAGUGGGGAAUAUUGCGCAAUGGGGGGAACCCUGACGCAGCCAUGCCGCGUGAAUGAAGAAGGCCUUCGGGUUGUAAAGUUCUUUCGGUAUUGAGGAAGGUUGAUGUGUUAAUAGUACAUCAAAUUGACGUUAAAUACAGAAGAAGCACCGGCUAACUCCGUGCCAGCAGCCGCGGUAAUACGGAGGGUGCGAGCGUUAAUCGGAAUAACUGGGCGUAAAGGGCACGCAGGCGGUUAUUUAAGUGAGGUGUGAAAGCCCCGGGCUUAACCUGGGAAUUGCAUUUCAGACUGGGUAACUAGAGUACUUUAGGGAGGGGUAGAAUUCCACGUGUAGCGGUGAAAUGCGUAGAGAUGUGGAGGAAUACCGAAGGCGAAGGCAGCCCCUUGGGAAUGUACUGACGCUCAUGUGCGUAAGCGUGGGGAGCAAACAGGAUUAGAUACCCUGGUAGUCCACGCUGUAAACGCUGUCGAUUUGGGGAUUGGGCUUUAAGCUUGGUGCCCGUAGCUAACGUGAUAAAUCGACCGCCUGGGGAGUACGGCCGCAAGGUUAAAACUCAAAUGAAUUGACGGGGGCCCGCACAAGCGGUG
rnacentral:rRNA from 1 species